GACGAACGCUGGCGGCGCGCCUAAACACAUGCAAAGUCGAACGGAGUUAUUCUGAAAUGAAGUUUUCGGAUGGAUUUUGGAUUAAACUUAGUGGCGAACGGGUGAGUAAACGCGUGAGUAAACCUGCCCUGGAGUGGGGGACAAACAGUUGGAAAACGACUGCUAAAUACCGCAUAAAGCCCACGGUGCCGCAUGGCACAGCGGGAAAAAGGAUUUAUUCGCUUCAGGAUGGACUCGCGUCCAAAUUAGCUAGUUGGUGAGGUAAACGGCCCACCAAAGGCGACGAUUGGUAGCCGGACUGAGAGGUUGAACGGCCACAUUGGGACUGAGACACGGCCCAGACUCCUACGGGAGGCAGCAGUGGGGAUAUUGCACAAUGGGGGAAAACCCUGAUGCAGCGAACGCCGCGUGG
rnacentral:rRNA from 1 species